rnacentral:rRNA from 1 species
AACAGCUCAAAUUUGAAAUCUGGCCCCAGUUCGGGGUCCGAGUUGUAAUUUGCAGAAGGUGCCUCCGGCGAGACGGCGGUCUAAGUUCCCUGGAACGGGGCGUCAUANAGGGUGAGAAUCCCGUACGCGAUCGCCCGUCGAGNCGAUGCGAGGCCCUUUCGACGAGUCGAGUUGUUUGGGAAUGCAGCUCUAAAUGGGUGGUAAAUUUCAUCUAAAGCUAAAUACCGGCCAGAGACCGAUAGCGCACAAGUAGAGUGAUCGAAAGAUGAAAAGCACUUUGGAAAGAGAGUUAAAAAGCACGUGAAAUUGUUGAAGGGGAAGCGCUUGCGACCAGACUCGCACGCGGGCGAUCAACCUUUUCCCUUCGGGGUGGGUGCACUCGUCCGCGAACGGGCCAGCAUCGGUUUCGGCCGCCGGACGAAGGCUUGGGGAACGUAGCUCCCUCCGGGGAGUGUUAUAGCCCUUCGCGCAAUGCGGCGUGUCGGGACCGANGACCGCGCCUNGCGCAAGGAUGCUGGCGUAAUGGUCGCCACGACCCGUNUUGNAACACGGACCAAGGAGUCNACCAACCGUGCGAGUGUUUUGGGCUUCAAACCCACGCGCGCAAUGAAAGUGAACGGAGGUGGGAAACCCCUUCUGGGCGCACCAUUCUACCGAUCUGAUGUCUUUCGAUGGAUUUGAGUAUGAGCAUUUUUGGUCGGACCCGAAAGAUGAUGAACUAUGCCUGAGUAGGGUGAAGUCAGGGGAAACCCUGAUGGAGGCUCGCAGCGGUUCUGACGUGCAAAUCGAUCGUCAAACUUGGGUAUAGGGGCGAAAGACUAAUCGAAUCAUCUAGUAGCUGGUUCCUGCCGAAGUUUCCCUCAGGAUAGCAGUAACUCUCUCAGUUUUAUGAGGUAAAGCGAAUGAUUAGAGGUCUGGGGGCAGAAACUGCCUUCACCUAUUCUCAAACUUUGAAUAUGUAAGAAGCCCUUGUUGCUUAGCUGAACGUGGGCAUUCGAAUGUAAAGUUACUAGUGGGCCGUUUUUGGUAAGCAGAACCGGCGAUGCGGGAUGAACCGAACGCGAUGUUAAGGUGCCGGAAUAUACGCUCAUCAGACACCACAAAAUGUGUUAGUGCAUCUAGACAGCCGGACGGUGGCCAUGGAAGUCGGAAUCCGCUAAGGAGUGUGU